UGCCAGCCGCCGCGGUAAUACGGAGGGUGCGAGCGUUAAUCGGAAUUACUGGGCGUAAAGCGCGCGUAGGCGGUUUGUUAAGUCGGAUGUGAAAGCCCCGGGCUCAACCUGGGAACUGCAUUCGAUACUGGCCGACUAGAGUACGAGAGAGGGAGGUAGAAUUCCACGUGUAGCGGUGAAAUGCGUAGAUAUGUGGAGGAAUACCAGUGGCGAAGGCGGCCUCCUGGCUUGACACUGACGCUGAGGCGCGAAAGCGUGGGGAGCAAACGGGAUUAGAUA
rnacentral:rRNA from 1 species